UAGCCUACUGUAUGACAUGGGGGCGUUCGCGCAAUAAUUUUAUUUUUAUUUUUUUCAUGAGGAAUAAGUUUAAAAUACUCGUGUCAUUUUUGGAUGUGCUUUCUGUCACCUCAUGCAGUCUCCGUGAAUGGAGCGCUCACAACAAUGAACCAGUUCACAGACAAAUCUUGCAGAAAUCUUGAAAACCUAUUUAAAAAAAAUACACAAACAAACAAAUAAAUAAAAAUAAAAAGAUUCUCUGAUUAUGUAGGUGCAUUAGGCUUGCUGCAACGGUGUUGGUGGUGAUACCGGUGUUAAGCACCGUCCCUCACCGUCAUUUUGAUUUUUUUUUUUAUAGUAAUAACAAUACUUUAGUUUCAGUUUAGAGAACAGACACAACAAUUAGAACUAAACGCGGCUGCUCAAUGCAGCACACCGAACGAACGACAGUCGCGCAUCACAGACCAGAUUUCAUUUAUCACGAGCUGACUGACAAGAAGAGUGAGGUGAGACAGACAAGACGAUGGCAGACGAGUUUCAAAACGAAAUGUAAAAGCGCCUGUUUUUUAAAAUAUUUUGGAUUUUGGAUAUUGGAAAAGCCUGUUGACGUGCCAUUUAGCCUAAGGUGAUAUUGGAAGUUUUUUAUCAUUCGGUUCUCAUUUAUUUGGUUCCACAGUAUUUGCUGAUUUGUAUUUUAUGUAAACUGUGUGAUUCUAAAUUUAUUUAAAAAAGAAUUCACAUAGUGUUACGUUUCGAGCGAAUUUUUUUAAAAUACAUUUAUUUUAUACUUUUGGAGCUUUAGUGUUGCCGACUUUGCAUUUUGAAUUGAAUUAAAGCAAUUGAUGCCGAAUUUACUGCUACAAGUGCUGGGCUAUUUCUGUAAACAUAUUGUUGGGUUAAUUGUGCUGGGUCAUAAUUCUGGGUUGUUUGCUGUACUGUAAACACAUAGUUGGGUUAUUAGUGCUGGGUCAAAUGACUGCAAGGGGUUCUUUCACCACUGAACACCUGGGUCGGGUUAUUUUUCCUCUUCAUCGAAUUUUCUGGGUUCUUCACUCGUCUCGUCGUCAGACGGUCAAGCAGCUCGCAGCAAGCAGGAUUAUAAGGUAACUUUAGCUGCAUUAGCUACCCUUAACGUUAAAGCACAAUAUUGCAGAAUUUGUUUUGCCUCCCCAAAAAAUUUGAGAUGGUGGAUUCGCAGCAAUGGGUCUACAAGCAUCCCAGAAAUCUUGAAGUUCCCCAGGCUUCUAGAAAAACUUGGCAUGAUGCUAAAAGGGAGAGUGCUUUCAAAGUCCUGCCCACUCUGCUUCCCCAAUCAAUAUUCGAGAACGGAGGAAAGGUCUUCAGACCCACAACCACAGAAUCCUGGAAGUCAUUAAUUUGACGUACAACCUGUGGGGACCAACAUGGUGAUGCAUUCCUGCACAUUUUGUGCCUUGGUGACGAGACAACGACAUCCCACACCUUCGCCAUUGUUUCGGGCCGUGCCGUUGAAACGGACUUGUUGCUUGAGGCUGUUUAUCUUUUUCAAGUCCUUUUUUUGUGCUUGAUGUUAGCUACACUAACAUCUUCCUUCCUGGGAAUUUCUCCAGCAUGCAGUAUAUCAUAUUGAUGGACAUGAGUCUUCAUGUGCGAAGUAUUUGAGGGCAACAGUUUUUUCUGGCCACUUGUAACAUUUUAAUUUUUUGUCACAUGUAUUGUCUGUUGUAGGUCUCUUUGUUUGGCUUAGGUUUAAUGGCACAAUAUUUGGACUGAUUCUCAUGUGGCAAUAAUCAAUUUCAUAGUGUUAUGAUGCUGCAAUGUUGACAAAGAAUAGGAAUCUACAGUACCUAGUUUACAAAGUUUUGUUUUUUAAAGAAACUGAUCUACAAAAAACAUUUUAUUUGUGUCUGUAGGGAUUGGGUGUAAUGUGUAACAGUAUAGCACGCAUUCAAAAACUUUUUAAAAAGAAAUGUGAAAACUCAUUAAAUUGAUAUUUACAGUUGCAUUUUUUUGUAUUGUGUAAUUGUAUUACAGAAAAAUAAUAAUUUUA